AACGAACGCUGGCGGCAGGCCUAACACAUGCAAGUCGAACGCCCUAGCAAUAGGGAGUGGCAGACGGGUGAGUAACACGUGGGAACGUGCCCUUCGGUUCGGAAUAACUCAGGGAAACUUGAGCUAAUACCGGAUAAGUGCGAGAGCAGAAAGAUUUAUCGCCGAAGGAGCGGCCCGCGUCCGAUUAGCUAGUUGGUGAGGUAAUGGCUCACCAAGGCGACGAUCGGUAGCUGGUCGGAGAGGAUGACCAGCCACACUGGGACUGAGACACGGCCCAGACUCCUACGGGAGGCAGCAGUGGGGAAUAUUGGACAAUGGGCGCAAGCCUGAUCCAGCCAUGCCGCGUGAGUGAUGAAGGCCCUAGGGUUGUAAAGCUCUUUCGCCAGGGACGAUAAUGACGGUACCUGGAUAAGAAGCCCCGGCUAACUUCGUGCCAGCCGCCGCAGUAA
rnacentral:rRNA from 1 species